rnacentral:tRNA from 1 species
GGAGGCUUCGCCUAGUCUGGUCUAUGGCGCCGCACUGCUAAUGCGGUUUGGGUUGACGCCCAUCCGGGGUUCAAAUCCCCGAGCCUCCG